AAGAGCCGGAUGAAGGGAGACCUUCAUGUCCGGGUCUGUGAGCAGCUGAGGGGGAGGGUCCCUUGGUUGACUCGAC
rnacentral:ncRNA from 1 species